GGGAGGGGCUCUGCCGGCUGGAGGGGAGGGGAGCCUGCGGGGAGGGGGCGGCCGGAGCGGUGCAGAGGCCGGAUUGGGGCCUCGCCGGCGCGCCCUUCCGCUCCGAAAGUCGCGUCCAGGCGGGCCACCGCCCCCUCCUCCAGGCAGGCCGCCCCCCCUACCCUCCAGGAAGACCUUUCCCCCCACUUCUCCAGGCCAUCUCCCCCACCCCUCCCGUUGGCCCCUCCGCCCUGCUCCAGGCCGUCUUUCCCCCUCCUCCAGGCAGGCACCCCCUCCUCUUCCAGGCGAGCUGCUCUCCCCCUGCUCUAGGCAGGCCAUCCUCUCCUCCUCCAGGCAGGCUGCCCCCCUACCUUCCAGACAGACCACACCCCGUCCUCCAGGCGGGCCGCUGCCCCGCUGCUCCAGGCAGGCCACCCCCUCCUCCUCCAGGCGGGCCGCCGUCUGCCCCCCCACCCCCCCCCCCCCGCUCCAGGCAGGCCACCCCCUCCAGUGGGGCUCCCGAGUGUAUCGGUUGUGUCGCACGGAAGACGCGUGAACCCGAGACCUUCCUGUUUCCCCCGUGUCGAGGCCCGGAGUUACUUGGAAUUACUGAUCAUCUGUCUUCUGAGCUCCCAGCCUGUGGGGCUGUGACGUCACGGACGUGGGGGGAGGGGGAGGGCCUGGGCCCGGGUCCCCUCGACCCUCCCCACACGGUCCCCGUCGGGGAAGAGAACUGCCCGCCUCCAGCACACCCUGCAGGAACGCGGACGCGGGUGUGGCCACAGGCUGGCCGACCCCGGACCAAAGCCGUCUGCACCCGGAGGGGCCAGUGCCGACCUCCCCCCUCUCCCCUCAUUGUAACAGUAAAUGUCACACCCGGGGUGGAGAUCACAGCCAGGGCCCCCGCCUCCGCGCGCGCGCUCGCUCUUCACCCCUCUCCCGCCCACCUGUCCUGGGGUGAGCCCACCGUCCGUCCCGCCGCCUCCGGGAUGGGGGGCAGCAGCCCCAACUCAGCCGAGCCCGACGCUCCUGGUGGGCCGCGCGGGUCAGCUCCUGCUGCGGGGCGAGCCUAGGGCCCUGCUGGGCAGCAGGAGCGCGUCAGAACCUGAGGGUGUACCUGUGCUGUUGUUGCGUAGACGGGGAGCUCAGCCCCUACACGGAGGUAGGCGUGCAGAGGGUCAGUCCCAAAGCGCAGGUGAGCAAAUCCCUGGGGGGUCACAGAGGGAGGGCAGCUAGUUCACCGGGGGCAGGAACAGCAAGAAUCUCAGUGUGGGGAGUUCCAGCGUGUGGUCCCUCGUCUCUGACAAGCUUUCUUUGCUUAGGACAGCUCCUCUGGAAAUGUUUUUGGUAGCAUGCAAGUAAUUUUAGCAUUUAUUUUCUAACUAUUUCCGCGGUGUUUCCUGAGUUAGCAUGUAUCUGGCUGGCAUCGAGCCCGUCCCGUUCGGAGCGCUUCCUGCUUCCUCGCAGCUGGAAAGAACCUCGAGGGAAAUCUCUCAAGGAGAGUGUAACGGGCCCUGCGUGGGGGUGUCUCAGUGCAGCAGAGCAUGAAAUGAAGCCAAGCGCGGCUGGCGCUUUGACCCCAAGUUCCAGAGGAGCCCGUGGGGCUUGUGACCCUGAAGGUGAAGGGUGAACAUGUGUGGAAACAGAAUCCAGCAUCGGAAGGAAGGAACCUCAUUCAGGCAGUUUUGCUACCAAGAGGCGCCUGGGCCCCGGGAGGCGCUGCGCCGGCUCCGCGAGCUGAGCCGCCAGUGGCUGAGCCCAGAAACACACACACGAAGGAGCAGAUCCUGGGGCUGCUGGUGCUGGAGCAGUUCCUGACCGUCCUGCCCGCCGAGCUCCAGGCCUGGGUGCGGGGACAGCACCCGGAGAGCGGAGAGGAGGCGGUGACUGUACUGUAAGGUCUGGAGCGGGAGCUGGACUGCAUGAGGCCGGCCAACAGUUGUACAGAGGAAGAAUUUUUCCACCCACAAGGCUACCUCUGGUCCCUUUGGAAAACACUGAAGUAAAGAACGGGGCGUAUUUCCAACGCAGGGAGACAAAGGUUUGUUCCUUAAACGAAGGUCAAGUUACAAGCAAGCUUAACUGUGCUCUCUUCUUUACCAAAAGUGACGCGGUGCUUUUAAUGCCACAUAGUGGGACGAAUCCAUUAGAGACGGACACGACACGCACCACGAGGCUGACGUGGCUCCGAUGCCGUGGCGGCCGUGGAAGUAAACCCGAGUGUAAGCCCGUCGGUGCCUCCUCACUUUGCUGCCGCUCUGGUCCGCGGCCCUCCUCAGCUGCUGGGGGCCUUCCUGGCCGCUUCCGGCCCCGUGCCGCCUGAGUCAAUCCAGUUGUGCUUCAAUAAAGUCUUAAGAUGUUUGAUAUGCCUCCGUUUGUCUGUUGUCCGGCGCGAGGAGAAGAUCACAUGUGUUCUGCACCUGAAAUGCAGACCCGCUGUGUCUGCAGAGAGAUCACGGCUUGUAGUAAGUGCGGAAAGUCACAGCCUCGGUGCGGGUUGUUGUCCAUCGUGGGAGCGUUGUCAGUCAGCCGUCACUGACGCUGGUUUUCUCUUCGAUGAAACUCGAGCUGAAAUGAAUUUCCUGAGGCAGCUUUUCACUUGUCCUCCAGGCAAAGCCGCCUCCUUGUUUCACCCCCGCGUUUUCAGACGGCACAACUCCUGGUGUUAGACUUCGGCCGCACGCGCCCCCCGCAGCGGUGAAACUAAAGAUGCUGGAUACGCUCCGAACUCCUACACCACACGCAGCUUUGCUCAGAGCCCAUCGUCCUGUCACCCCUGUGAGCCUUUCCUGGGGUCCCCUGCGGCCAGGCCCCGUGCUCCGCUGGCCUGGGGACACAGAAGCAUGUGGACACGGACAAAUGGGGGAGGGUGAGUCUCUUCGCUCUGCCUGCUGGCGUGUGGGGACCGUGGGCAAGUCCUCCGGGAGACCGCUGCAGAAAUAGCCCUCCUGCACUCCCCACCUGUUGUGCGUGUCUGUGCACGAGGGUGCAAGAUGCCGCUGUCAGGCUCUCACACACACCCUGACCAGCAAGCCCCUUCUGCACCCUCCGGUGUCCCCCAUAGCACCCUGUGGAUGUUACCGUCAUAAGUUCCCUGGGCUCUGUUCCCCUGUAGGUUAACGUCUUUGAAGAAGGAAUCAUGUCUUUCGUUCAUCUGCAAAUUCUCAGCGCUGAGCGUAUGACCCAGAAAAUGGUACCGAUACAAGUUCACGUUUCCUGCCCUGCGUCUAACUGGUCCUGAGGUUUACUCUCUCCUGGUGCUUGGAUCUGUCUCCUCCCCGCACCGCCCCCCCACCCCCGGCAGGGGGGGUCACAAGACCCCUGUUUAGCUCCAAUUUCAAUGUCGAUUCCUCUCAGCUCCCGUACCUCAUUGUCCCCAGCUCGUUGGCACACUGAGCUGUCGUCCCCUUAGACACCUGUUCUAAAUCUUUGGAAAUUUAUUCUAACCUGCUUGUUUGAAAUACGACCCUUCCAGCUUAACUAUAAUUUCAUUCCGUACAAACUUAUUACAAAUAAAACUUCCCCUCCCACAGCAAAGCUCAGUCUAGUUCACUCAGGGUAGACUCAGUGUUGUCUAAGUAGCAAAAUGCAGUUACGUGUAAUAUUUUAUUUACAGUACUCUGUGUGGACAUUGGAAAGACAAAUAUUGGACAGUACUUGAAGUCAUCUUAUAUGAUGAAAAUCUCCAAAAGGGCAGAAGGCUGGGCCCUUAGUUUUUACCCCAAGGGACCUUUGUUUUGAAUGCUUUUUGUUCUGUGUAAUCUGAGCCUUCAAAUUAUUUUGAAUAGGAUUUGAUAUGUUUUAGUUAAAUAUAAAGCUGUUGGUCGGAAGUACACCUUUUUUUAUUAUAAUCAUUAACAUCUAAAGUAUCAAAGCAAAAGAAAAAGCAUUUUAAGUAUCAGAACUGAAAAGCACGUGACCAAGAAUAAAAACCCUUAAACUAA